GGUGAACGCUGGCGGCGUGCUUAAGACAUGCAAGUCGAACGGCUCAUUUCGGUGAGCAGUGGCGCACGGGUGAGUAACACGUAGCUGACCUGCCCCAAAGUCCCGCAUAACAGCCCGAAAGGGCUGCUAAUAGGGGAUGUGCUUGCUGGUUGUGACUGGCAAGUAAAGGUUUACCGCUUUGGGAUGGGGCUGCGGCCCAUCAGCUCGUUGGUGAGGUAACGGCUCACCAAGGCGACGACGGGUAGCCGGCCUGAGAGGGUGGCCGGCCACAGGGGCA
rnacentral:rRNA from 1 species